UAGGGAAUCUUCCACAAUGGACGAAAGUCUGAUGGAGCAACGCCGCGUGAGUGAAGAAGGGUUUCGGCUCGUAAAACUCUGUUGUUGAAGAAGAACAUAUCUGAGAGUAACUGUUCAGGUAUUGACGGUAUUUAACCAGAAAGCCACGGCUAACUACGNGCCAG
rnacentral:rRNA from 1 species